GCUGGGUUAUCCAUGCAUAUUUUCCUAUCACUGAGAAAAAUUAUUUUAGGUAGGGUUUUUUGGUUUUUUUUCUGUGAUAGUGGGGAUACUCUUUUUAGAGCAUGAGGAUGAUAGGUUAAAAGAGCAGUGUCAAGUGCUUCUUCUGGUGCUUUAGGGAAGAUAAUGAAUUUCAGUACAACUAUUAUAUGUACUUUGCUUUUGCAUGAAUGUAAAGCAGGCUUUGGAAAAAAUCAACUUUGGAUGUUCAGCAUUUGAUAGAAACUUCAGGUUUCAAUUUAUUGCAAAUCUUCAUCAUACAUUUCCUCAACUUUUACCUUUCUUUACCUAACUUAGUGUGGGAAAGCUAAUUUUGAAAACUUCGAAAAAUGUGCUACUUUCAGAAAUACCAUUUGACUUUUAAUUAAAUGUGUAAAAUGAAAUUUGAUCUGCCAUAAAAAGCCUUUCAGAGCUGUGUCUUUAGCUUUUAGUUUCAUAGUAUGUGCUUUAUAUUACUACUAGAUUAAGAACUUUUCCAGCAAAAAAGAUACACAGACAUACAGCAUCUCGAAAUUCUAAUUUCCUUUGGCCCUGUCAUCUUCUCAUUUUUAUUUUUUUCUUCAGCUACAAAAUCUAUAUGAUAAGGUGAACUCAGCAUGUUAAAACAUGAGCAUUGUCUCUUGUAGAAAUAAGCUUUCUACAUUUCUACAUUCCUCUUGGAUAUUGCUGUUGAAGAGGUAGGACUGGUCUGAUUUUUGGGCAGUGAGACAACUAGGUGGAGGUUGUCCACUUCCUCUGUCUUUCAUGUUAACCAAAAGCAAUGUAUUUGCUUUUCAUCCUAGUGGAUGUCUGGUACUUUCCCACAAAUGAGAUGCAGGUAAGUUUUCAGUGUUUUAGCCCAUGUCUAAAGCUGUCAGCAUUGCUCUAGAAAAGGAUCAGAAAAUUUUAUUUAUGUAAAAUAAUAUCUAAGCUUUUUACAGUAUAUUGUCUCAGAGAUUGAUAAUGCUUUGAUAGGGAUCCCAUGGCCUUUUACACAACCUCCGUGGCACUUACAGUCAAAGUCCUCGGGUAAACAGUAGCUUGUUUUCAGGAGCCUGCUGUUUGCACAAAAGAUAAACAUAGACUCUAAGCAGGUAUUUAUAGCCUGAUUAAUGUGGUUAUUUUCUAAGUAGGUGUUCUCUUUCAUCAUCUAGAGUUAGAGUGAAGUUGAUUCUGAAUUAAGGAUAAUGGAACUCAAAGUCAUGGACUAUUGUUUUUCUUCCUCCUCAGUUUUCACAGCCAUCUUUUUAUCUGGGACAGGGUUGUUCUUGGCUCUGUGUACCUGUUCUGGUGCAUUUUAAUAAGAAAAAGACAAUGUAUGAUUUUAUCAUAAAGAUAUUGGUAAACAGAUCAUAACUAAAAUUUGUGAACAACUGGAUAUUUUUAAAGUAAGAAUCAAGUAUUUGUACUUUUUUCUACCAUUUCAGAUAUUACCCCCACACACUAUUUUAGGCUAAGAGAAAAAUAAUUCAGAGGUGGUUGUACUCCAGAUAUCGUCUGUAUGUUUGAUUUCAGUUGUUACAGUAUUUGAGCAACUAACCUUUAUCUUCUGUUUAUGGAUAUCAUGCUUUAAGUGAAGGGCAUAUGGUGAGUUGUAUCAGCAGCUAUAGCAAUAGAAUUUUACAUAAUGAAUUUUCUAAUUUUGAAGACUGGCAUUCAUAGAAGCAUAGAAUCAUAGAAUAGUUUGGGUUGGAAAGAACCUUAAGAUCAUCUAGUUCCGGCUCCCCUGCCAUGGGCAGGGACACCUCACACUAGACCAUGUCACCCAAGGCUCUGUCCAGCCUGGCCUUGAACACUGCCAGGGAUGGAGCAUUUACCACUUCUUUGGACAACCUGUUCCAGUGCUUCACUGCUGAGGGUGCAGUUUGCUGUCCUUUAGUAUUUUGUAGCUACACACAAUAUUACACAAUAUUACUUUUAAAAUUACCUUCUUUAAGAACAUAAACAUGGCCAUACUGUAAUGGACAAAAUUUCCAUCUAGCCAGAAUCCCAUGUUUGACAAUGGAUAAUAACAGAUGGGUAAGGAAAAGUGUACAGUACCAGGCUCCAGCCGCUGGUGUCUCCAGUACUUCCCGUGCUUGUUUCUGUGGACUUAGUACAGAGGAUUUCUUUUCUAUGAACUUUCCCCAUCUUCCCAUGAGACUAGGUACUAAUAUUUGCAGCAUCCUUAUUACAGGGUAUUCUACAGCUUAACCAUAAAUUGUCUGAAGAACCAUAUCUCUUUGUCUGUUUUCCAAUACACUUC
ensembl:lncRNA